ensembl:lncRNA
GGGGGCCGUGAUGUGGGGGCAGAGGGCCGCUAUGUGGGGGUGGAGGGCUGCUAUGUGGGGCGGAGGGCCGUGAUGUGGGGCAGAGGGCCGCUAUGUGGGGGCAGAGGGCCGCUAUGUGGGGCAGAGAGGCUGUGAUGUGGGGCAGAGGGCCGCUAUGGUGGGGCAGAGGGCCGCUAUGUGGGGCAGAGAGGUCAUGAUGUGGGGCAGAGGGCUGUGAUGUGGGGCAGAGAGGCCGUGAUGUGGGGCAGAGGGGUGCUCUGUGGGGCAGAGCCCAUAGUGUGAUGGGGUCCUGUGGUUGCGCCAUGGGGCAGAGCCCCACAUGGCGGAGGUUAUGGGGCAGAGCCCAUAGUGUGAUGGGGUCAGGUGGUUGCGCUAUGGGGCAGAGCCCCACGUGGGGGAGGUUAUGGGGCAGAGCCCAUAGUGUGAUGGGGUCAGGUGGUUGCGCUAUGGGGCAGAGCCCCACAUUGUGGAGGUUAUGGGGCAGAGCCCCACAUGGGGGAGGUUAUGGGGCAGAGCCCAUAGUGUGAUGGGGUCAGGUGGUUGCGCUAUGGGGCAGAGCCCCACGUGGAGGAGGUUAUGGGGCAGAGCCCAUAGUGUGAUGGUGUUCCGUGGUUACGCUAUGGGGCAGAGCCCCACAUGGCGGAGGUUAUGGGGCAGAGCCCCACGUGGCGGAGGUUAUGGGGCAGAGCCCAUAGCGUGAUGGUGUUCCGUGGUUACGCUAUGGGGCAGAGCCCCACAUGGCGGAGGUUAUGGGGCAGAGCCCAUAGUGUGAUGGGGUCCGGUGGUUACGCUAUGGGGCAGAGCCCCACAUGGAGGAGGUUAUGGGGCAGAGCUCCUCAUAGGGGUCGUUAUGGGGCAGAGCCCCACAUGGAGGAGGUUAUGGGGCAGAGCCCAUAGUGUGAUGGGGUCCGGUGGUUGCGCUAUGGGGCAGCGCCCCACGUGGGGGAGGUUGUGGGGCAGAGCCCAUUGUGUGAUGGGGUCUGGUGGUUACGCUAUGGGGCAGAGCCCCACGUGAGGGAGGUUAUGGGGCAGAGCUCAUACUGUGAUGGUGUUCCGUGGUUGCGCUAUGGGGCAGAGGCCCACGUGGGGGAGGUUAUGGGGCAGAGGCCCACGUGGGGGAGGUUAUGGGGCAGAGCCCAUAGUGUGAUGGGGUCCUGUGGUUGCGCUAUGGGGCAGAGCCCCACAUGAGGGAGGUUAUGGGGCAGAGCCCAUAGUGUGAUGGAGUCCGGUGGUUACGCUGUGGGGCAGAGCCCCACAUGGAGGAGGUUAUGGGGCAGAGCUCAUACUGUGAUGGUGUUCCGUGGUUGCGCUAUGGGGCAGAGCCCCACGUGGGGGAGGUUAUGGGGCAGAGCCCCACAUGGGGGAGGUUAUGGGACAGAGCCCAUAGUGUGAUGGGGUCCGGUGGUUACACUAUGGGGCAGAGCCCCACAUGGAGGAGGUUAUGGGGCAGAGCCCCACAUGGGGGAGGUUAUGGGGCAGAGCCCCACGUGGGGGAGGUUAUGGGGCAGAGCUCAUACUGUGAUGGGGUCCGGUGGUUACGCUAUGGGGCAGAGCCCCACGUGGGGGAGGUUAUGGGGCAGAGCCCAUAGUGUGAUGGAGUCCGGUGGUUACGCUAUGGGGCAGAGCCUUACAUGGGGGAGUUAUGGGGCAGAGCCCAUAGUGUGAUGGGGUCCUGUGGUUGUGCUAUGGGGCAGAGCCCCACAUGGAGGAGGUUAUGGGGCAGAGCCCAUAGUGUGAUGGGGUCCAGUGGUUACGCUAUGGGGCAGAGCGCCACGUGAGGGAGGUUAUGGGGCAGAGCCCAUAGUGUGAUGGUGUUCCGUGGUUACGCUAUGGGGCAGAGCCCCACAUGGCGGAGGUUAUGGGGCAGAGCCCAUACUGUGAUGGUGUUCCGUGGUUACGCUAUGGGGCAGAGCCCCACAUGGUGGAGGUUAUGGGGCAGAGCCCAUAGUGUGAUGGUGUUCCGUGGUUACGCUAUGGGGCAGAGCCCCACGUGGGGGAGGUUAUGGGGCAGAGCUCCUCGUAGGAGAGGUUAUGGGGCAGACCCAGCGCUAUGGGGCAGUUGCAGCACUAUAGGGCAGACCCACUGCUAUGGGUCCCACCCUUUGCUAUGGGGCAGAUGCAGUGCUAUGGGGCAGACCCGGCACUAUAGGGCAGAUGCAACACCAUAGGGCAGACCCACUGCUAUGGGUCACACCCAGCGCUAUGGGGCAGACGCAGUGCUAUGGGGCAGAGGUAGCGCUAUGGGUCACACCCAUUGCUGUGGGGCAGAGGUAGCGCUAUGGGCCACACCCAUUGCUGUGGGGCAGAGGCAGCGCUAUGGGUCACACCCAGCGCUAUGGGGCAGACCCAGUGCUAUGGGGCAGGGGCAGCGCUAUGGGUCACCCCCGUUGCUGUGGGGCAGCGGCAACGCUAUGGGGCAGACCCAGUGCUAUGGGCCACACCCAGCGCUAUGGGGCAGACCCACUGCUAUGGGUCACACCCAGCGCUGUGGGGCAGACCCACUGCUAUGGGUCACACCUGGUGCUAUGGGGCAGACCCACUGCUAUGGGUCACACCCAGCACUAUGGGUCACACCUGGUGCUAUGGGGCAGAGGCGGCGCUAUGGGUCACAUCUGGUGCUAUGGGGCAGAGGCGGCGCUAUGGGUCACAGCCAUUGCUGUGGGGCAGACCCGGUGCUAUGGGGCAGAGCCAGCACUAUAGGGCUGAUGCAGCACUAUAGGGCAGACCCACUGCUAUGGGUCACACCCGGCGCUAUGGGUCACACCUGGUGCUAUGGGGCAGAGGCGGUGCUAUGGGUCACAGCCAUUGCUGUGGGGCAGACGCAGUGCUAUGGGGCAGAUCCAGCACUAUAGGGCAGACCCAGUGCUAUGGGGCAGACCCACUGCUAUGGGUCACACCCGGCGCUAUGGGGCAGACCCGUUGCUGUGGGGCAGAGGCAAUGCUAUGGUGCAGACCCACUGCUAUGGGUCACACCCAGCGCUAUGGGGCAGACCCACUGCUAUGGGUCACACCUGGCGCUAUGGGGCAGACCCGGUGCUGUGGGGCAGAGGCGGCGCUAUGGGGCAGACCCACUGCUAUGGGUCACACCCGGUGCUAUGGGGCAGACCCGGUGCUGUGGGGCAGAGGCAAUGCUAUGGUGCAGACCCACUGCUAUGGGUCACACCCAGCGCUAUGGGGCAGACCCACUGCUAUGGGGCAGACCCGUUGCUGUGGGGCAGAGGCGGCGCUAUGGGGCAGAUUCCCGUGGAGGGCGCGGUCGGUGGGGCAGCGCCGUGGGGCACAGCCGCCCCACGCAGCCAAACUCC